rnacentral:rRNA from 1 species
UACGUAGGUGGCAAGCGUUGUCCGGAAUUAUUGGGCGUAAAGCGCGCGCAGGCGGCUUCUUAAGUCUGAUGUGAAAUCUUGCGGCUCAACCGCAAGCGGCCAUUGGAAACUGGGGAGCUUGAGUACAGAAGAGGAGAGUAGAAUUCCACGUGUAGCGGUGAAAUGCGUAGAUAUGUGGAGGAAUACCGGUGGCGAAGGCGGCUCUCUGGUCUGUUACUGACGCUGAGGUGCGAAAGCGUGGGGAGCAAACAGG